rnacentral:rRNA from 1 species
UACGAAGGGGGCUAGCGUUGUUCGGAAUUACUGGGCGUAAAGCGCGCGCAGGCGGUCUUCCAAGUCAGGGGUGAAAUCCCGGGGCUCAACCCCGGAACUGCCUUUGAUACUGGAAGUCUUGAGUUCGAGAGAGGUGAGUGGAAUUGCGAGUGUAGAGGUGAAAUUCGUAGAUAUUCGGAAGAACACCAGUGGCGAAGGCGACUUACUGGACACAUAUUGACGCUGAGGUGCGAAAGCGUGGGGAGCAAACAGG